AUGGCAAGGUGUCAUGGCGGGAGCUCCGUUUCCAUCAGCCAGUGUAAACCCACAAUGGUGGACGGAUCGACCAGAUAGGACAUGGCAAGGUGUCCGGGCGGGAGCUCCGUUCCCAUCAGCCAGUGUAAACCCACAAUGGUGCACUGAUCGACCAGAUAGGACAUGGCAAGAUGUCAUGGCGGGAGCUCCGUUCCCAUCAGCCAGUGUAAACCCACAAUGGUGCACUGAUCGACCAGAUAGGACAUGGCAAGGUGUCCGGGCGGGAGCUCCGUUCCCAUCAGCCAGUGUAAACCCACAAUGGUGGACGGAUCGACAAGAUAGGACAUGGCAAGGUGUCAUGGCGGGAGCUCCGUUUCCAUCAGCCAGUGUCAACCCACAAUGGUGGACGGAUCGACCAGAUAGGACAUGGCAAGGUGUCAUGGCGGUAUCUCCGUUCCCAUCAGCCAGUGUGUGACGAAACGCCUUUUGUCACCGGAUUUUCCCCUGGCUGUUGGAGGAGCCUGAUUGCCAGCCUCUUGCCUCAUGACUAUGGCCCUGGGUUAUUUGGCCCUUCAAGUACAAUAUUUGGGCAUAUUGGAUUUGUAUGGUGCUGCUGCUGGCCCUUUAAAAACCAUCCCUGGACAUAUUAUGACUUUUAGGAACAAUGUCCCUUUAAGACUAUUUGGGGCUUAUUGGCUUCUAAAGACAGUUUCUUCCCAUUGGAAUCCAUGGGAAGGUGUGUUUCUUCCCCUCCCCCGUUUCCUGUCUAUUGUUCACCUAGAUUGGGCGCUCAGAUCCGAGCUAUCUGGGGAUAGGUUAAAUGUGGGGGUUCUGUGUAAUAAAAUAAGAAUUAUGUAUUUUUAUGUACUUUUCCGUAUUUUGGCUGUUAGUGUUUAAAUGUAGAUAUUUUCUGUACCUGGAGAUAAAUGAGUUUACUGCAGUGCCUUAAGCCAAUUAUCUCCAGGAUGGAGAGGAGGGAUUUCAUUGUGUAUGUGAGAGUGUUAUCAUGUUAAUUAGUGUUCCCAUUGGUUUGUGUCCCUUUUGUCACAGUUUACCACCAGGUCCAGGGGGUGUGCCUCUGACCUGAAAACUUGUAUAUAAGGAGUAAUAAACGCUCAUUGGAGUCAGAUCAUCUUGUACCUUCAUGAAGUUUCGGCUCAUGUUUGGGGGAUUGGAGAAACUACACUCUGGGGAUUGCUAUAAUCACUAUACUCUCCAGGGUAUAAUCACUAAGCUCUGCUAAGAGCUUGUUCCUGUUCCUGCUCUCUGGAAUUCGGAGAGAGGUCGACCUGCUGGAAGCUGGACCCUGGUCCUGGGUCCAGAGUGGGUGGAGACGGCGAGACCCCAACCAAGCUGCGGCGGUUCGUGGGGUCUGCAGUGGUUAUGGUGUCAGGCAGAGUGCUUGGAGUCCUCGGAAAGCACUAGGAGCAUCCGUCGGCGGAAGGUACCCGGUCGGGGUGCCAGCGGUUCCGUUACACAGUGUAAACCCACAAUGGUGGACGGAUCGACCAGAUAGGACAUGGCAAGGUGUCAUGGCGGUAGCUCCGUUCCCAUCAGCCAGUGUAAACCCACAAUGGUGCACUGAUCGACAAGAUAGGACAUGGCAAGGUGUCCGGGCGGGAGCUC